CAGUUAUUUAAACUGCAACUAUGGUUACUGUUAACUUUUUGUAUAUUAGGACAAAAUUAUUUAUUGCUUGAAAAUGGGUGGUUGAUGAUCAGGUGACAAAACAGUUGGCUUUCAUGAUAAUACUUGUCUAAUGACAAACGGGUAGAGGUCUAACCCUCUGAAGCCAUUAACCAACCAUAGCAGGACAACAUUCGGAGCACAAUACAAACAUUUAAAAAAACGAUAGGCACAACAACAAAAGAG